UUAAUUUGCCAACGGGGUUUGGCUACACCUAAAUAAUUCGAUUGAAUUGAAUUAUUGAUAUGAGUCUAUGCUAUUCGAUUCAGCUAGACUAAUGUUUAUGAAAACUCUAAGUGUUCAUUGAAAGAAAUUUCCCGAACCAAAUUGUUUUGGUGCGGAAUCCUAUGAUAAGACUGAGGUGAACGAUGUUGUUUGGAUAAAAUAAUCCAAUCUAAUAGCGUAAAUAUUCGCUAGGCAUGAUUAAUACGUUAUGCAUGACGUAGGGGUACAAUAGGCUAAUCACCUAAAGUACUAUUAAUGGUAGUUUACCUUCUUUGUGAUUGUAAACAUACCAG
rnacentral:lncRNA from 1 species